GGUGGCUGACUAAAUACUUUUUUUCCCCACUGUACUGUUGUUGCCCAUACAAUGCAUGGGUGUCAUAGCUACAUACACAUCUAGUGAGACAAGGCUGUGUUUACACAGGAGAAAAAAGAGUGAAACUCUCAAAGGUAUGUUUAAUGCCCUUUUUACAUACAAUAGCUAGGCGAUGCACCGGUGUCCUGGCCACCAAAACAACAUAAAAUUAACCUUUUGCUUAUAUCCACUGCAGGUUCUUGAACCACAUAUUACGAGAUUGUGAGGCGGGCGUAUCUCUCAGGUUUACCUGAGAACAUAGGGGACACAAUCUUAUAGAAACAUGCAAAGGGUCGCCAGGGGAGAAAGAUGUUUUUUGCUUCUAGAUGCACGGUCGAGAGUGCUUGCAGAAGAUGAGAGACAUUUGGACAGGAGUUAAUGUUGACCUGAUGAGCGAUGAGGAGGAUGGCCUGCAAAACGGCAAACCAGUGUGGUUCGUCAAGCCCCCCCUACUUCCAGAGUGAGGUGCUCUCUGCCCUUUGUCAAGAACUACAGUGCCACUUGGAGAGGAACCAGAGCUACUUGGAGAGCCACACGGAUCAUGGCUGGGGAGUUUUCAUCAAAGCAACCUAGAUUCCAUGGACCCCUCAACACUAUAGCACCCCAGUAACCCCAAUGGAGGCUCGCCCUGGGCCAAGCUGCAUGACCCUGGGCCAAGCUGGAUGACCCUGGGCCAAGCUGGAUGAUCUUUGAAUUUUGAAUAGACUCGUUCAUAUUUCCUUAAUCUGGUGCUUACCUGUUUACACCCAUGUAAGCAAGUAAGCACCAUAUUCAAAAUUCAAAGAUUAAAAAAGUAAAAAAAUUAUAAUAACCAAGCAGAGUACUGGCAGGAGUCAUCCAGCUUGGCCCAGAUCGAGCCUCCAUAGGGGUUACUUUAGUUUCAGACCCUUCUUAGCCUAAAUGCAGAUACUAUUACCUGCCUUCUCCUGCUCUACUGAAAUUAAUUGUAAAUGUAAAUGUAAAUGAAUGUCAUCCAUCAAGAAGUGAUUAAGUGAAUUUGUGUUUUUUUUUCAAGGAACUAAGAGAUGUUUAGCGAUAGUAUAGUAUACUGUAGUAUAGUAUAGUAUGGUAUAGUAUAGUAUAGUAUAGUAUAGCAAUGUCGUGAGGUGCUGGGAAAACCUUGAUAGGCUGUCCUGUAGCUCAGUUGGUAGAGCAUGGCACUUGCAACGCCAGGGUUGUGGGUUCGUUUCCCACGGGGGGCCAGUAUGAAAAAUGUAUGCACUCACUAACUGUAAGUCGCUCUGGAUAAGAGUGUCUGCUAAAGAUUGAAAUGUUAAUGUAAUAGUGGUGUUCAAGUUUUUUUUAUGAAAAGGUUUAGGAACCCUGACUUCAUAAAACAUAUUUAAAUAAUG